rnacentral:rRNA from 1 species
AUUGAACGCUGGCGGCAUGCUUUACACAUGCAAGUCGAACGGCAGCGCGGGCUUCGGCCUGGCGGCGAGUGGCGAACGGGUGAGUAAUACAUCGGAGCGUGCCCAGUAGUGGGGGAUAGCUCGGCGAAAGCCGGAUUAAUACCGCAUACGACCUGAGGGUGAAAGCGGGGGAUCUUCGGACCUCGCGCUAUUGGAGCGGCCGAUGGCAGAUUAGCUAGUUGGUGGGGUAAAGGCCUACCAAGGCGACGAUCUGUAGCUGGUCUGAGAGGACGACCAGCCACACUAGGACUGAGACACGGCCCAGACUACUACGGGAGGCAGCAGUGGGGAAUUUUGGACAAUGGGCGAAAGCCUGAUCCAGCAAUGCCGCGUGUGUGAUGAAGGCCUUCGGGUUGUAAAGCACUUUUGGCGGGAACGAAAAGGACUGUGCCAAUACCACGGUUCGAUGACGGUACCCGCAGAAUAAGCACCGGCUAACUACGUG